rnacentral:rRNA from 1 species
CAAUGGGCGCGAGCCUGAUGCAGCGACGCCGCGUGAGGGAUGACGGCCUUCGGGUUGUAAACCUCUUUCAGUAGGGAAGAAGCGUAAGUGACGGUACCUGCAGAAGAAGCGCCGGCUAACUACGUGCCAGCAGCCGCGGUAAUACGUAGGGCGCAAGCGUUAUCCGGAAUUAUUGGGCGUAAAGAGCUCGUAGGCGGUUUGUCGCGUCUGCCGUGAAAGUCCGGGGCUCAACUCCGGAUCUGCGGUGGGUACGGGCAGACUAGAGUGAUGUAGGGGAGACUGGAAUUCCUGGUGUAGCGGUGAAAUGCGCAGAUAUCAAGAGGAACACCGAUGGCAAAGGCAGGUCUCUGGGCAUUAACUGACACUGAGGAGCGAAAGCAUGGGGAGCGAACCGGAUUAGAUACCCUGGGAAUCCAUGCCUUCAACUUUGGGCAAUUGGAGUAGGGGAACUUCCC